rnacentral:rRNA from 1 species
UGGGGAAUAUUGCGCAAUGGGCGGAAGCCUGACGCAGCGACGCCGCGUGGGGGAUGACGGCCUUCGGGUUGUAAACCUCUUUCGGCCCCGGCGAAGAGAGAUUGACGGUAGGGGUGGAAGAAGCACCGGCCAACUACGUGCCAGCAGCCGCGGUAACACGUAGGGUGCGAGCGUUGUCCGGAAUUAUUGGGCGUAAAGAGCUCGUAGGCGGUGUGUCGCGUCGGCCGUGAAAACCUGCAGCUUAACUGUGGGCUUGCGGUCGAUACGGGCAUCACUGGAGUUCGGCAGGGGAGACUGGAAUUCCUGGUGUAGCGGUGAAAUGCGCAGAUAUCAGGAGGAACACCGGUGGCGAAGGCGGGUCUCUGGGCCGAUACUGACGCUGAGGAGCGAAAGCGUGGGGAGCGAACA